UAUAUAUAUAUAUAUAUAUAUAUAUAUAUAUAGUUUGAUUUAGUUUGUAUAUAUAUGUAAUACGUACGCUAAUUAGAUUUAUAUAUAUAUAUAUAUAUAGUAUGCUAAGAAUUGUAUAGUAUUUGUAUAAAUACUUGUUUGAUUCAUUUAAAUAAUUGUUUGAUUCGUUUAAAUAGUAGUUUGAUUGAUUUCAUUAUAAAAAAAGUUCUCAACUACUAAAGGUUAACUAAAGGGGUACGUGAGAUAUGCACGAAAUUAUAGGCGCCAUGCAGGCGCCUGCAUGGUGCUGUACACACGCACUUUAGUCCUGGUUUGUUUUACAAACCGUGACUAAAGAGGCGACCUUUAGUCCCGGUUUGUAACACCAAUUGGGACUAAAGGGGUCUGUCCACCGCCUGGCGUGGCAGCCCCAUUAGUCCCGGUUGGUUUUACAAACCGGGACUAAAGGAGGAUUUUAUAUCCCGGUUGAGGGACCCGUGAUAAAAGAUCCCCCAUUUUAUCUCGACGGAUUAAUCUCGGAUGCAUUUUCGGGAGAUAUGCAGUCUACGAACCGGUACUAAUACCGAGUUCUCUAUUAGUGUAAGCCAGGGCCAACCAUCUCCAUCUCUUCUAUAUCAUCAUCCACUUCUCCUUCAUCGCCCUCUGAACCUCUGAUCUCUAUCCAUGGUUGAACUAUGAAUCCAUAACCAACUAGGCCCCUUUCCUUCAUACAUCAAAC
rnacentral:lncRNA from 1 species